rnacentral:rRNA from 1 species
AUUGAACGCUGGCGGCAUGCCUUACACAUGCAAGUCGAACGGCAGCACGGGGCAACCUGGUGGCGAGUGGCGAACGGGUGAGUAAUGCAUCGGAACGUACCUUUCAGUGGGGGAUAACGUAGCGAAAGUUACGCUAAUGCCGCAUAUUCUGUGAGCAGGAAAGCAGGGGAUCGCAAGACCUUGCGCUGAUUGAGCGGCCGAUGUCAGAUUAGCUAGUUGGUGAGGUAAAGGCUCACCAAGGCGACGAUCUGUAGCGGGUCUGAGAGGAUGAUCCGCCACACUGAGACUGAGACACGGUCCAGACUCCUACGGGAGGCAGCAGUGGGGAAUUUUGGACAAUGGGGGCAACCCUGAUUCAGCCAUGCCGCGUGAGUGAAGAAGGCCUUCGGGUUGUAAAGCUCUUUCGGCCGGGAAGAAAUCGCACGGGCUAAUACCCUGUGUGGAUGACGGUACCGGAAUAAGAAGCACCGGCUAACUACGUGCCAGCCGCCGCAGUAAGAC